rnacentral:rRNA from 1 species
UACAGAGGUCUCGAGCGUUGUUCGGAUUCACUGGGCGUAAAGCGUGCGUAGGUGGUGAGUUAAGUCUGUCGUGAAAGCCCCGGGCUCAACCUGGGAAUGGCGAUGGAUACUGGCUCGCUAGAGUGCGGUAGAGGAGAGUGGAAUUCCCGGUGUAGCAGUGAAAUGCGUAGAGAUCCGGAGGAACACCAAAGGCGAAGGCAGUGUCCUGGGGAGUACCUGACGCUCAGGUGCGAAAGCCAGGGGAGCGAACGGG